AGAGUUUGAUCCUGGCUCAGGAUGAACGCUGGCGGCGUGCUUAACACAUGCAAGUCGAACGAAGCACUUUAUUUGAUUUCCUUCGGGACUGAUUAUUUUGUGACUGAGUGGCGGACGGGUGAGUAACGCGUGGGUAACCUGCCUUGUACAGGGGGAUAACAGUUGGAAACGGCUGCUAAUACCGCAUAAGCGCACGGCAUCGCAUGAUGCAGUGUGAAAAACUCCGGUGGUAUAAGAUGGACCCGCGUUGGAUUAGCUAGUUGGUGGGGUAACGGCCCACCAAGGCGACGAUCCAUAGCCGACCUGAGAGGGUGACCGGCCACAUUGGGACUGAGACACGGCCCAAACUCCUACGGGAGGCAGCAGUGGGGAAUAUUGCACAAUGGGCGAAAGCCUGAUGCAGCGACGCCGCGUGAGCGAAGAAGUAUUUCGGUAUGUAAAGCUCUAUCAGCAGGGAAGAUAAUGACGGUACCUGACUAAGAAGCACCGGCUAAAUACGUGCCAGCAGCCGCGGUAAUACGUAUGGUGCAAGCGUUAUCCGGAUUUACUGGGUGUAAAGGGAGCGCAGGCGGUGCGGCAAGUCUGAUGUGAAAGCCCGGGGCUCAACCCCGGUACUGCAUUGGAAACUGUCGUACUAGAGUGUCGGAGGGGUAAGCGGAAUUCCUAGUGUAGCGGUGAAAUGCGUAGAUAUUAGGAGGAACACCAGUGGCGAAGGCGGCUUACUGGACGAUAACUGACGCUGAGGCUCGAAAGCGUGGGGAGCAAACAGGAUUAGAUACCCUGGUAGUCCACGCCGUAAACG
rnacentral:rRNA from 1 species